AACGCUAGCUACAGGCUUAACACAUGCAAGUCGAGGGGCAGCAUUUUAGUUUGCUUGCAAACUGAAGAUGGCGACCGGCGCACGGGUGAGUAACACGUAUCCAACCUGCCGAUAACUCCGGAAUAGCCUUUCGAAAGAAAGAUUAAUACCGGAUAGCAUACGAAUAUCGCAUGAUAUUUUUAUUAAAGAAUUUCGGUUAUCGAUGGGGAUGCGUUCCAUUAGUUUGUUGGCGGGGUAACGGCCCACCAAGACUACGAUGGAUAGGGGUUCUGAGAGGAAGGUCCCCCACAUUGGAACUGAGACACGGUCCAAACUCCUACGGGAGGCAGCAGUGAGGAAUAUUGGUCAAUGGGCGAGAGCCUGAACCAGCCAAGUAGCGUGAAGGAUGAAGGCUCUAUGGGUCGUAAACUUCUUUUAUAUGGGAAUAAAGUUUUCCACGUGUGGAAUUUUGUAUGUACCAUAUGAAUAAGGAUCGGCUAACUCCGUGCCAGCAGCCGCGGUAAUACGGAGGAUCCGAGCGUUAUCCGGAUUUAUUGGGUUUAAAGGGAGCGUAGGUGGAUUGUUAAGUCAGUUGUGAAAGUUUGCGGCUCAACCGUAAAAUUGCAGUUGAAACUGGCAGUCUUGAGUACAGUAGAGGUGGGCGGAAUUCGUGGUGUAGCGGUGAAAUGCUUAGAUAUCACGAAGAACUCCGAUUG
rnacentral:rRNA from 1 species